rnacentral:rRNA from 1 species
AACAAACGCUGGCGGCGUGCCUAAUACAUGCAAGUCGAACGGGGAAAGCUUUCGGGUGAGUACUAGUGGCGCACGGGUGAGGAACGCGUGGAUAAUCUGCCUUAGAGUGGGGGAUAACUAGUCGAAAGAUUAGCUAAUACCGCAUAAGACGACAGGAGCUGCGGCUCAAGGGGUCAAAGGUUUUUCGCUCUAAGAUGAGUCCGCGUAAGAUUAGCUAGUUGGUGAGGUAACGGCUCACCAAGGCGACGAUCUUUAACUGGUAUGAGAGGAUGAUCCGUCACACUGGAACUGAGACACGGUACAGACUACUACGGGAGGCAGCAGUAGGGAAUAUUGCACAAAGGAGGAAACUCUGAUGCAGCGACGCCGCGUGAGUGAUGAAGGCCUUCGGGUCGUAAAGCUCUGUCGCAGGGGAAUAACACAAUGAAUGUACCCUGUAAGAAAGGAUCGGCUAACUUCGUGCCAGCCGCCGCCGUAACAC